GUCCACGUUGCGGCGGACCAGAGCCAGAGGCCCGCGAGGGCACUGGCGGCAGCCGGCCACCAUCUUGUUGUCAUGACAAUGAGGCCGGCUGC
rnacentral:sRNA from 1 species